GCUGCUCCUCAAGUGGCUCCGCUGGAGGGUUCUGGCCCCGAUGACUCAUGCCAUCUGUUAGCAGCUCUUGUACGAUCACACUUCUGUGUUCCUUCCAAUAAGCAGAAAGCUCCAGUGAUUUUGCAGCGGUGCUUUGAUGAUCCAGAGAAACACUCAGAAGAACCUACAGAAAGAGUACUACCACCAAUGUCCAAAACAUUACAAAGGACUCGUAUCUGAACACUGCAUCUCAAGUGCAGUGCUGUACCAG